AACGAACGCUGGCGGCAUGCCUAACACAUGCAAGUCGAACGAGACCUUCGGGCUUAGUGGCGCACGGGUGCGUAACGCGUGGGAACCUGCCCUUAGGUUCGGAAUAACUCCCCGAAAGGGGUGCUAAUACCGGAUAAUGUCUUCGGACCAAAGAUUUAUCGCCUUUGGAUGGGCCUGCGUUGGAUUAGCUAGUUGGUAGGGUAAAAGCCUACCAAGGGGACGAUCCAUAGCUGGUUUGAGAGGAUGAUCAGCCACACUGGGACUGAGACACGGCCCAGACUCCUACGGGAGGCAGCAGUGGGGAAUAUUGGACAGUGGGCGAAAGCCUGAUCCAGCAAUGCCGCGUGAGUGAUGAAGGCCUUAGGGUUGUAAAGCUCUUUUACCCGGGAUGAUAAUGACAGUACCGGGAGAAUAAGCUCCGGCUAACUCCGUG
rnacentral:rRNA from 1 species